rnacentral:rRNA from 2 species
GGGUGAGUAACACGUGAGUAACCUGCCCCUGACUCUGGGAUAAGCCUGGGAAACUGGGUCUAAUACCGGAUACGACCAUUUCUCGCAUGGGAUGGUGGUGGAAAGUUUUUUCGGUUGGGGAUGGGCUCGCGGCCUAUCAGCUUGUUGGUGGGGUGAUGGCCUACCAAGGCGACGACGGGUAGCCGGCCUGAGAGGGCGACCGGCCACACUGGGACUGAGACACGGCCCAGACUCCUACGGGAGGCAGCAGUGGGGAAUAUUGCGCAAUGGGCGGAAGCCUGACGCAGCGACGCCGCGUGGGGGAUGACGGCCUUCGGGUUGUAAACCUCUUUCAGCAGGGACGAAGUUGACGUGUACCUGUAGAAGAAGCGCCGGCUAACUACGUGCCAGCAGCCGCGGUAAUACGUAGGGCGCAAGCGUUGUCCGGAAUUAUUGGGCGUAAAGAGCUCGUAGGUGGCUUGUCGCGUCUGCCGUGAAAGCCCGUGGCUUAACUACGGGUCUGCGGUGGAUACGGGCAGGCUAGAGGCUGGUAGGGGCAAGCGGAAUUCCUGGUGUAGCGGUGAAAUGCGCAGAUAUCAGGAGGAACACCGGUGGCGAAGGCGGCUUGCUGGGCCAGUUCUGACGCUGAGGAGCGAAAGCGUGG